AGUGAACGCUGGCGGUAGGCCUAACACAUGCAAGUCGAACGGCAGCACAGUAAGAGCUUGCUCUUACGGGUGGCGAGUGGCGGACGGGUGAGGAAUACAUCGGAAUCUACUUUUUCGUGGGGGAUAACGUAGGGAAACUUACGCUAAUACCGCAUACGACCUACGGGUGAAAGCAGGGGAUCUUCGGACCUUUCGCGAUUGAAUGAGCCGAUGUCGGAUUAGCUAGUUGGCGGGGUAAAGGCCCACCAAGGCGACGAUCCGUAGCUGGUCUGACAGGAUGUUCAGCCACACUGGAAGUGAGAAAGGGUCCAGACUCCUACGGGAGGAAGCAGUGGGGAAUAUUGGACAAUGGACGCAAGCCUGAUCCAGCCAUACCGCGUGGGUGAAGAAGGCCUUCGGGUUGUAAAGCCCUUUUGUUGGGAAAGAAAAGCAGCAGGUUAAUACCCCACUGUACUGACGGUACCCAAAGAAUAAGCACCGGCUAACUUCGUG
rnacentral:rRNA from 1 species